UACGGGGGGGAGCAAGCGUUGUUCGGAUUUACUGGGCGUAAAGGGCGCGUAGGCGGUCGUGACAAGUCACUUGUGAAAUCUCCGGGCUUAACUCGGAACGGUCAAGUGAUACUGUCGGACUAGAGUACAGAAGGGGCAACUGGAAUUCUCGGUGUAGCGGUGAAAUGCGUAGAUAUCGAGAGGAACACCUGCGGCGAAGGCGGGUUGCUGGGCUGACACUGACGCUGAGGCGCGAAAGCUAGGGGAGCGAACGGG
rnacentral:rRNA from 1 species